GGAAGCCCGACAACAUAUCUACCGUAGGUUGCUGAAUGAGAUAAAGCAAGCCUAAAAUGGAAAGAAAAUAAUUGUGAGUUUAUACUCGUCGAUGAGCUCCAAUAUUAGUCUGUUACAAGUACAAUCACAAGGACACGAGCAGGAUGCUAUAAGCUAUCCAAUGACCCAGCCACAAAAACAGAAAAGAAAGAAAAAGUCAGCUGACAUUGCAAUUGAAUUGUUUAGUAUUGUUUAAUGCUUACCGCCUGAUUUACACCAAUAAGAGAUGAGCAAAAUAAGAACAAUAAGAAUUGCUUGAAUGAGGAUUCCAAUCAAUGGCCA